rnacentral:rRNA from 1 species
AACGAACGCUGGCGGCAUGCCUAACACAUGCAAGUCGAACGAGACCUUCGGGUCUAGUGGCGCACGGGUGCGUAACGCGUGGGAACCUGCUCUUAGGUUCGGAAUAACUCCCCGAAAGGGGUGCUAAUACCGGAUAAUGUCUUCGGUCCAAAGAUUUAUCGCCUUUGGAUGGGCCCGCGUUGGAUUAGCUAGUUGGUAGGGUAAAAGCCUACCAAGGCGACGAUCCAUAGCUGGUCUGAGAGGAUGAUCAGCCACACUGGGACUGAGACACGGCCCAGACUCCUACGGGAGGCAGCAGUGGGGAAUAUUGCACAAUGGGCGAAAGCCUGAUACAGCAAUGCCGCGUGAGUGAUGAAGGCCUUAGGGUUGUAAAGCUCUUUUACUCGGGAUGAUAAUGACAGUACCGGGAGAAUAAGCUCCGGCUAACUCCGUG